rnacentral:misc_RNA from 1 species
GAUGAAGAACGUAGCGAAAUGCGAUAAGUAGUGUGAAUUGCAGAAUUCAGUGAAUCAUCGAAUCUUAGAACGCACAUUGCGCCCUUUGGUAUUCCAAAGGGCAUGCCUGUUCGAGCGUCAUUUGUACCCUCAAGCUUUGCUUGGUGUUGGGCGUCUUGUCUCUAGCUUUGCUGGAGACUCGCCUUAAAGUAAUUGGCAGCCGGCCUACUGGUUUCGGAGCGCAGCACAAGUCGCACUCUCUAUCAGCAAAGGUCUAGCAUCCAUUAAGCCUUUUUUUCAACUUUUGACCUCGGAUCAGGUAGGGAUACCCGCUAAACUUAAGCAUAUCAAUAAGCGGAGGA